UACAGAGGUCUCAAGCGUUGUUCGGAUUCAUUGGGCGUAAAGGGUGCGUAGGCGGCGCGGUAAGUCGGGGUGUGAAAUCUCGGAGCUUAACUCCGAAACUGCAUUCGAUACUGCUGUGCUUGAGGACUGGAGAGGAGACUGGAAUUUACGGUGUAGCGGUGAAAUGCGUAGAUAUCGUAAGGAAGACCAGUGGCGAAGGCGGGUCUCUGGACAGUUCCUGACGCUGAGGCACGAAGGUCAGGGGAGCAAACGGG
rnacentral:rRNA from 1 species